GUGGAGUGUGUAGAGAGUGUGGAGUAUGUGGAGAGUGUGGAGCAUGUGGAGUGUUGUGUGUGUGUGGAGUGUGUGGAGUGUGUGUGUGUGGAGUGUGUGUGUGGAGUGUGUGGAGUGUGUGGAGUGUGUGGAGUGUGUGUGUGUGGAGUGUGUGUGUGUGGAGUGUGUGGAGUGUGUGUGUGUGGAGUGUGUGUGUGUGGAGUGUGUGGAGUGUGUGUGUGUGGAGUGUGUGUGUGUGGAGUGUGUAGAGAGUGUGUGUGUGGAGUGUGUGUGUGUGGAGUGUGUGGAGUGUGUGUGUGUGGAGUGUGUGUGUGUGGAGUGUGUAGAGAGUGUGGAGUAUGUGGAGCAUAUGGAGAGUGUGGAACUUGUGGAGUGUGUGCGUGGAGCAUCUGUGGAGUGUGUGGAGCGUGUGUGUGGAGCGUGAGUGUGGAGUGUGAGUGGAGUGUGAGUGGAGUGUGUGAGGUUUGUUUGGAGGUUGAGGAGUGUGUGGAGCAAGCGUUUGGAGUGUGUGGAGCGAGUAUGUGGAGCAUGUGUGGAGCGUGUGAAGUGUGUGGAGCGAGUGUGUGGAGAGUGUGUGUGGAAUGUGUGGAGUGUGUGUGUGGAGAGUGUGGAGUGUGUGGAGAGUGUGUGUGUGUGUAGAGUGUGUGUGUGUGGAGAGUGUGUGUGUGUGGAGAGUGUGUGUGGAGAGUGUGUGUGUGUGUGUGUGUGUGUGGAG
ensembl:lncRNA